GUAUUUUGACCGUGCUAAGGUAGCAUAAUCAUUAGUUUCUUAAUUAGAAGCUGGAAUGAAGGGUUCGAUGAAAAAAAUUCUGUCUCAGUUUUAAAUUUUGAAUUUUAUUUUUAAGUGAAAAAGCUUAAAUUUUAUUAAAAGACGAGAAGACCCUAUAGAGUUUAAUAGUUUAAUAAUUAUAGAAGUUGAGGUAUUAGAUUGGUCUAUAAUAUUUAAAUUAUUUGGUUGGGGUGACUGAAAAAUUAAAUAAACUUUUUCUUUUAGAAGUACAUUAAUUAGUGAAUUUAUGAUCCUUUUUUAAAGAUUAAGAGAAUAAAUUACCUUAGGGAUAACAGCGUUAUUUUUUCUUAGAGU
rnacentral:rRNA from 1 species